CUACUUUGGUCUCUCUUCAAAUCGUAUAAAUCUUUUGCCUUUUAAUAAAGUUUUCCUUAGAGAGGGACUACUUCAUGAGUCACGAAGCAUUUCAGUUAUUGCCAAUGUGGAGUCAUAUUG
rnacentral:snRNA from 1 species